AUCUUGAACUAAGUCAGGAAAAUUUCCAUGACGUAGACACCAUUUAGUUAUGGCCUUGUAUGUUUGCCAAAUUAAGGGAGGUCCUAAAUUGAAUAAAGUAAAAGAAGUGUUACUUUUUCAUAUUUGGACUACAGUAACCUAAAAUGGAGACAUCUAAGGUAUAAAUAGGUGUACUUUUAAAUGUUAAGACACGGAGGAGAGACUUGGAGACAGACGCUGCUCCAUCUUAAAAUGACAGAGAGGCUGACAUGAUGACAUGUUCAGAAGGGUAUGUUAACCUAUUAAUGAUAUUUGCAAGCAUGUAAUUUAAUCUUAUA